GCGCUCUGGCGGCGUGCUACACAUGCAAGUCGAACGAGAAAGUCCGCAAGGAUGAGUACAGUGGCGACCGGGUGAGUAACACGUGACUAACCUACCUCUUAGUGGGGGAUAACUCCGGGAAACCGGAGCUAAUACCGCAUAACAUCGCAAGAUCAAAGCCGAAAGGCGCUGGGAGAGGGGGUCGCGGCUGGUUAGCUAGUUGGUAGGGUAACGGCCUACCAAGGCGAAGAUCGGUAUCCGGCCUGAGAGGGCGCACGGACACACUGGAACUGAAACACGGUCCAGACUCCUACGGGAGGCAGCAGUGGGGAAUUUUGCGCAAUGGGGGAAACCCUGACGCAGCAACGCCGCGUGGAGGAUGAAGUCCCUUAGGAUGUAAACUCCUUUCGACCCGGACGAUACUGACGGUACGGGUGGAAGAAGCACCGGCUAACUCUGUGCCAGCAGCCGCUGUAAUACAGAGGGUGCGAGCGUUGUUCGGAAUUAUUGGGCGUAAAGGGCGCGUAGGCGGCGCGGUAAGUCACCUGUGAAAUCUCCUGGCUCAACUGGGAGCUUGCAGGCGAAACUGCCGUGCUGGAGUGUGGGAGAGGUGCGUGGAAUUCCUGGUGUAGCGGUGAAAUGCGUAGAUAUUAGGAGGAACACCUGUGGCGAAAGCGUCGCACUGGACCACAACUGACGCUGAGGCGCGAAAGCUAGGGGAGCAAACAGGAUUAGAUACCCUGGUAGUCCUAGCCCUAAACUAUGGAUGCUUGUGUGAUUGGUACCCAAUUCCAUCGUGCCUAAUCUAACGAGAUUGCUUCUCGCUUGGGGGUCCGUUGUUAGGUUGAAACUUAUGGAAUUGU
rnacentral:rRNA from 1 species